UACGUAGGGGGCAAGCGUUGUCCGGAAUCAUUGGGCGUAAAGCGCGUGUAGGCGGCUCGGUAAGUCUGCUGUGAAAGUCCAGGGCUCAACCCUGGGAUGCCGGUGGAUACUGUCGAGCUCGAGUCCGGAAGAGGCGAGUGGAAUUCCUGGUGUAGCGGUGAAAUGCGCAGAUAUCAGGAGGAACACCAAUGGCAAAGGCAGCUCGCUGGGACGUGACUGACGCUGAGACGCGAAAGCGUGGGGAGCAAACAGG
rnacentral:rRNA from 1 species